rnacentral:rRNA from 1 species
CGCGUAGGCGGCCCGCUAAGUCGAACGUGAAAUCCCCGAGCUCAACUCGGGAACUGCGUCCGAUACUGGCGGGCUUGAAUCCGGGAGAGGGAUGCGGAAUUCCAGGUGUAGCGGUGAAAUGCGUAGAUAUCUGGAGGAACACCGGUGGCGAAGGCGGCAUCCUGGACCGGCAUUGACGCUGAGGCGCGAAAGCUAGGGAGCAAACG